GAUGAACGCUAGCUACAGGCUUAACACAUGCAAGUCGAGGGGCAGCGCAGUGUAACAAUACAUGGGCGGCGACCGGCGCACGGGUGCGUAACGCGUAUCCAACCUUCCCGUUACUCAGGGAUAGCCUUCCGAAAGGGAGAUUAAUACCUGAUGGUGUUUGAAUUCCGCAUGUUAUUCAAACUAAAGAUUUAUCGGUAACGGAUGGGGAUGCGUGACAUUAGAUAGUAGGCGGGGUAACGGCCCACCUAGUCUACGAUGUCUAGGGGUUCUGAGAGGAAGGUCCCCCACACUGGAACUGAGACACGGUCCAGACUCCUACGGGAGGCAGCAGUGAGGAAUAUUGGUCAAUGGUCGGAAGACUGAACCAGCCAAGUAGCGUGAAGGAUGAAGGUUCUAUGGAUUGUAAACUUCUUUUAUACGGGAAUAAAACCUCCCACGUGUGGGAGCUUGUAUGUACCGUAUGAAUAAGCAUCGGCUAACUCCGUGCCAGCAGCCGCGUAAAAC
rnacentral:rRNA from 1 species